GCUCUUUUCAGUGUACUGCAAAAUAUAUACAUCAUACAUAUGAUGCAUGUAUAUAUUUUGCAGUACACUGAAAAGAGC